rnacentral:misc_RNA from 1 species
UGGAAAGGGUGCAUUUGGGGAGGUUAGAAUAUGCAGGGAGAAGGCAACUAGUCAUGUCUAUGCCAUGAAAAAGCUAAAGAAGUCAGAAAUGCUUCGUAGAGGCCAGGUUGAACAUGUUAAAGCCGAAAGGAAUCUGCUUGCUGAAGUGGAGAGCAAUUGCAUUGUUAAGCUAUAUUGCUCCUUCCAAGAUGAGGAGUAUCUUUACCUAAUAAUGGAAUAUCUUCCUGGUGGAGAUAUGAUGACUUUGCUGAUGCGCAAGGAUACUUUAACAGAAGAUGAGGCCAGGUUUUAUGUGGGGGAGACCGUCCUUGCUAUAGAAUCUAUCCAUAAACACAAUUAUAUUCACAGAGAUAUCAAGCCUGAUAACUUACUACUUGAUAAACAUGGACACAUGAAGUUAUCAGAUUUUGGA